UACGAAGGGGGCUAGCGUUGCUCGGAAUCACUGGGCGUAAAGCGCACGUAGGCGGAUUGCUAAGUCAGGGUGAAAUCCUGGAGCUCAACUCCAGAACUGCCUUUGAUACUGGCGAUCUCGAGUCCGGGAGAGGUGAGUAGAACUGCGAGUGUAGAGGUGAAAUUCGUAGAUAUUCCGCAAGAACACCAGUGGCGAAGGCGGCUCACUGGCCCGGUACUGACGCUGAGGUGCGAAGCGUGGGGAGCAAACAGG
rnacentral:rRNA from 1 species